rnacentral:rRNA from 1 species
GGGAGCGUAGGCGGCGUGGUAAGUCAGAUGUGAAAUCCCGGGGCUCAACCCCGGAACUGCAUCCGAUACUGCCAUGCUUGAGGGUUGGAGAGGUAGCUGGAAUUCUCGGUGUAGCAGUGAAAUGCGUGGAUAUCGAGAGGAACACUCGUGGCGAAGGCGAGCUACUGGACAACAUCUGACGCUGAGGCUCGAAGGCUAGGGUAGCGAAAGGGAUUAGAUACCCCUGUAGUCCUAGCAGUAAACGGUGUGCGCUUGGUGUGAGGGGAUUCGACCCCCCUUGUGCCGGAGCUAACGCGUUAAGCGCACCGCCUGGGAAGUACGGCCGCAAGGCUAAAACUCAAAGAAAUUGACGGGGACCCGCACAAGCGGUGGAGUAUGUGGCUUAAUUCGAUGCAACGCGAAGAACCUUACCAAGGCUUGACAUGCAUCUCUAAGCGCGUGAAAGCGCGUGACUCUUCGGAGGAUUUGCACAGGUGCUGCAUGGCCGUCGUCAGCUCGUGUCGUGAGAUGUUGGGUUAAGUCCCGCAACGAGCGCAACCCCUGUGAUUAGUUGCCAGCGGUUCGGCCGGGGACUCUAAUCAGACUGCCCAGAUCAACUGGGAGGAAGGUGGGGACGACGUCAGGUCAGUAUGGCCCUUACGCCUUGGGCUGCACACGUACUACAAUGUCCAGUACAAUGAGAACCGAGACCGUGAGGUGGAGGAAAUCUAUAAAACUGGGCCCAGUUCGGAUUGGAGGCUGCAACUCGCCUCCAUGAAGCCGGAAUCGCUAGUAAUGCUGCAUCAGCUACGGCAGCGUGAAUACGUUCCCGGGUCUUGUACACACCGCCCGUCACAUCAUGGAAGCCGGUAGCACCCGAAGUAUCGUACGAUCCUAAGGUGAAGCUGG